UUGCUGGAGGUAUCAGAAGUGCGAAUGCUGACAUAAGUAACGAUAAAGCGGGUGAAAAGCCCGCUCGCCGGAAGACCAAGGGUUCCUGUCCAACGUUAAUCGGGGCAGGGUGAGUCGACCCCUAAGGCGAGGCCGAAAGGCGUAGUCGAUGGGAAACGGGUUAAUAUUCCCGUACUUGGUGUUACUGCGAAGGGGGGACGGAGAAGGCUAUGUUGGCCGGGCGACGGUUGUCCCGGUUUAAGCGUGUAGGUGUGUGUUCCAGGUAAAUCCGGUUCACUUUAACACUGAGGCGUGACGACGAGGCACUACGGUGCUGAAGCAACAAAUGCCCUGCUUCCAGGAAAAGCCUCUAAGCAUCAGGUAACAUCAAAUCGUACCCCAAACCGACACAGGUGGUCAGGUAGAGAAUACCAAGGCGCUUGAGAGAACUCGGGUGAAGGAACUAGGCAAAAUGGUGCCGUAACUUCGGGAGAAGGCACGCUGACACGUAGGUGAAGUGAUUUACUCAUGGAGCUGAAGUCAGUCGAAGAUACCAGCUGGCUGCAACUGUUUAUUAAAAACACAGCACUGUGCAAACACGAAAGUGGACGUAUACGGUGUGACGCCUGCCCGGUGCCGGAAGGUUAAUUGAUGGGGUCAGCGCAAGCGAAGCUCCUGAUCGAAGCCCCGGUAAACGGCGGCCGUAACUAUAACGGUCCUAAGGUAGCGAAAUUCCUUGUCGGGUAAGUUCCGACCUGCACGAAUGGCGUAAUGAUGGCCAGGCUGUCUCCACCCGAGACUCAGUGAAAUUGAACUCGCUGUGAAGAUGCAGUGUACCCGCGGCAAGACGGAAAGACCCCGUGAACCUUUACUAUAGCUUGACACUGAACAUUGAGCCUUGAUGUGUAGGAUAGGUGGGAGGCUUUGAAGUGUGGACGCCAGUCUGCAUGGAGCCGACCUUGAAAUACCACCCUUUAAUGUUUGAUGUUCUAACGUGGACCCGUAUCCGGGUUGCGGACAGUGUCUGGUGGGUAGUUUGACUGGGGCGGUCUCCUCCUAAAGAGUAACGGAGGAGCACGAAGGUUGGCUAAUCCUGGUCGGACAUCAGGAGGUUAGUGCAAUGGCAUAAGCCAGCUUGACUGCGAGCGUGACGGCGCGAGCAGGUGCGAAAGCAGGUCAUAGUGAUCCGGUGGUUCUGAAUGGAAGGGCCAUCGCUCAACGGAUAAAAGGUACUCCGGGGAUAACAGGCUGAUACCGCCCAAGAGUUCAUAUCGACGGCGGUGUUUGGCACCUCGAUGUCGGCUCAUCACAUCCUGGGGCUGAAGUAGGUCCCAAGGGUAUGGCUGUUCGCCAUUUAAAGUGGUACGCGAGCUGGGUUUAGAACGUCGUGAGACAGUUCGGUCCCUAUCUGCCGUGGGCGCUGGAGAACUGAGGGGGGCUGCUCCUAGUACGAGAGGACCGGAGUGGACGCAUCACUGGUGUUCGGGUUGUCAUGCCAAUGGCACUGCCCGGUAGCUAAAUGCGGAAGAGAUAAGUGCUGAAAGCAUCUAAGCACGAAACUUGCCCCGAGAUGAGUUCUCCCUGAGACUUAGAGUCUCCUGAAGGAACGUUGAAGACGACGACGUUGAUAGGCCGGGUGUGUAAGCGCAGCGAUGCGUUGAGCUAACCGGUACUAAUGAACCGUGAGGCUUAACCUUAC
rnacentral:rRNA from 1 species